rnacentral:rRNA from 1 species
UUGUAGCAAUACGGCUAGGAGCGGCGGAUGGUGAGUAACGGGUGGUGACUUACCUAAGGUUGGGGAUAGCCAUUAGAAAUAGUGGGUAAUACCGAAUAUGGUCGGAGUGCCUUGGCAAUUCCGAAGAAAGGGGCUUUCGGCCCCGCCUUGGGAUGGGCCCGCGUCCCAUUAGCUUGUUGGUGAGGUAAGAGCCCACCAAGGCGAUGAAGGGUAGCCGGCCUGAGAGGGUGAACGGCCACACUGGGACUGAGAUACGGCCCAGACUCCUACGGGAGGCAGCAGCUAAGAAUAUUCCGCAAUGGACGAAAGUCUGACGGAGCGACGCCGCGUGGAUGACGAAGGCCGAAAGGUUGUAAAAUCCUUUUGUUACUGAAGAAUAAGUACGGGAGGGAAUGCCCGUAUGGUGACGGUAGGG